rnacentral:piRNA from 1 species
UCGUGUUGAUUGCUGAGUUUAGCCUCACGG